AACUUUCAACAACGGAUCUCUUGGCUCUCGCAUCGAUGAAGAACGCAGCGAAAUGCGAUACGUAAUGUGAAUUGCAGAAUUCAGUGAAUCAUCGAAUCUUUGAACGCACCUUGCGCCCCUUGGCAUUCCGAGGGGCACACCCGUUUGAGUGUCGUG
rnacentral:rRNA from 6 species